GUGCUAGGUGCCUAGGCUAUGCAUCUUAAUUUGUGAUUGUGCUAGAUUAGUUCGAUUGUUUUUUUGUGUCGUGUGUGAUUUGGUAUAAUCCAACCUAUUACUAUCUUAUACUCCAAUCUGUUACCAAAUAUUUUGAGUAUAAGGUUAAAAAAAAUCGAACACAUGUUAACGUAAAAACAAAUUACGGAGUUCAACAAUCAAAACAUUAUACUUAUCCCAAAAGACUAUAUUUUGUGAGAGCAAUUCAAUUAAGCAAUCAAAAUGAGACGGAUGGUCAAAAGAAUGAGAAAAAUGAGAGAAAGAUGUUACUAAUUCCCAAAUAGGAUAUUUCCUCAAAAAAAAAAAAAAAAAAAAAGAAAAAAAUCCCAAGUAGGAUAAGUCCCAAUAAAAGCGGUAGAAACAAUAGAAAGAGAGAAGCAAUCCGAAAAAACAGAAGUAAUAAAAGCCCAAAUUCAGAUAUAAUAAAGCCCACGAUAUCCUUAAAUUACCGUCUACCUGAAACAAAGGUGCCACCACCAACCGCCCAAACACCGGCGACUUUCUCAAUUUUUCGUCUGUAAAUUUGGGGAUAUUCAUUGAUUAAUGUUCAAAUUUCAGGUUUCAAUUCAAUUUUACAAAAUUAAUUUAUCGAAAUUUCUGUGUUAGAUUUGUUGAUGAUGAUGGCACCUCCGCCUGCUAUUAUUGCUCAUCUUCCUCUAGCAAUUUCCCCCUUUGGAGGUCGUCAAGCUUUAUUGGGGUCAUGCUUUUUCAAAAGGAAUUCUCUCCAUUCAGAUAGUUUUCUAAAGUUUGGGGCUUGUGAAGGACAUUUUUUGCGCUUGAAGAGGUCAAUGAAGUGUAAGAAAAAUUUCCCCUUUACAUUUAGAACCAGGCUUCAGUUGUAAUUAAAUGAUGGUGAAGAAUGUUGCAGACAGAAUCUCAUGUUUGCUUGCUUUGGUUAUUGCAGACGGGGCCUUAUGCUUCCAGAGUGUAGGUGCCUUUUGCUACUGUAUUGACCCCACUAAGGGAAAUGAAAGUUUUAAUUAUCAUGGAAGUUUAUGUGCUUGCAUUUAAAGAAUUAUAAGGGAACCCACUAGCAAUGUGUAAGCCUCCAUUUUGGUUUUAAACAAUGUACCCAUUGUUAUUUGUGUAGAAAGGCGCAUUCAGUGUAGCAGCAAAAACUCAAGUGCCAGUGGCGCCCAUGACAAUAAUUGGAACUGGCAGUAUCAUGCCUGCUGGCAAGGAGAAAAUGCUAAAUCCAGGGUCUGUCAAAGUCGUAAUUCACCCAUGUUUGAUGGGAAAUGACGCACAAGUAUUGUGCAAUCAAGCUCGGAGUGUUAUUGCAGACACACUUGAGCGGCAAUGCUAAGAGAUUCAAGUCAUAAUGCGGUAUUAUUGGACAAACGGAUUUUCCUGAGCCUAAAUCACUUUACGGAUUGAUGACGCAUGAGAAGAUUUUGGUGCCUAAUUUAAGGCCUGUGUUCGUUUCAGGAGAGAAGACGUCUUCAUAAAUUGUAGUUUCUUGUAGAGGAAUGGCUUGCUGGAAAAUGACAACAAUUGGAAUCAAAAUUGGAUUAACAUGGUUGUGAUUUGGAGAAGCAAGAAAUUUCCCACCUAGGAGUUUUUCGCCUGUUACUAGGAUUUUCCACUCAGGAAAUGGCUAAUUAAGUAUAGGAGUUUUUUGUCUGCUACUAGGCUUUCAACUCAGAAAAUGGCUAAUUAGGUUUUGUAAAUGUAUUGAUGGCAGCUGUUGUUGUAGUUACUAUUGAGGCCUUGAGGGUAUAGGAAUUUAUAAGAGGUUUCCAUGUAGUCAAGCCGAAAGGGCUGUAUUUGAGGCUUGUGAUAAAGAUGUGAUGUUGGCGCAGCCGCGCAGUUGUGCAGAAUUGCGGAUUUAACACUUUUGUAAAAAGGCCUAGCAGGUCAAAAUUCGUCAAUUUAACCAGUAAAAGCCUAUCUUUUGCCCAUUUUCUCCUCUCAUUGAAGCAAAAUUAACUCUGCUUAUGUAUUAUUACCCAAUAUUUGAUUAU